GCUGGGCGUGGUGGCACACGCCUGUAAUCCCAGUGGCUUGGGAGGCUGAGGCAGGAGGAUCACAAAUUCAAAGACAGCCUUAGCAAUUUAUCAAGGCCUUAAGAAAGUCAGUGAGACCCUGUCUCUA
rnacentral:sRNA from 1 species